GGUGAGGUGGCCGAGUGGUUGAAGGCACUCCCCUGCUAAGGUAGUAUGCAAUAAUAUUGCAUCGAGGGUUCGAAUCCCUCCCUCACCA
rnacentral:tRNA from 1 species